rnacentral:rRNA from 1 species
CCCUUAGAUGUCCUGGGCUGCACGCGCGCUACACUGAUGUGUCCAGUAAGCACCUAACCUAUUCCGAGAGGAGCGGGUAACCUUAGCAAAGCACAUCGUGAUGGGGAUAGAUUAUUGCAAUUAUUAGUCUUGAACGAGGAAUUCCUAGUAAGCGCCAGUCAGCAGCUUGCGCUGAUUACGUCCCUGCCCUUUGUACACACCGCCCGUCGCUCCUACCGAUGGGUGAUCCGGUGAAUGAUUCGGACUUCAGCGGCUCCCCUGGGGUGCGCCGGAGAAAGUUUUGUGAACCUUAUCACUUGGAGGAAGGAGAAGUCGUAACA